GACGAACGCUGGCGGCGUGCUUAACACAUGCAAGUCGAACGGAAAGGCCCUGCUUUUGUGGGGUGCUCGAGUGGCGAACGGGUGAGUAACACGUGAGUAACCUGCCCUUGACUUUGGGAUAACUUCAGGAAACUGGGGCUAAUACCGGAUAGGAGCUCCUGCUGCAUGGUGGGGGUUGGAAAGUUUCGGCGGUUGGGGAUGGACUCGCGGCUUAUCAGCUUGUUGGUGGGGUAGUGGCUUACCAAGGCUUUGACGGGUAGCCGGCCUGAGAGGGUGACCGGCGACAUUGGGCCUGAGAUACGGCCCAGACUGCUACGGGGGGCAGCAGUGGGGAAUAUUGCACAAUGGGCGGAAGCCUGAUGCAGCAGCGCCGCGUGCGGGAUGACGGCCCUCGGGUUGUAAACCGCUUUCGCCUGUGACGAAGCGUGAGUGACGGUAAUGGGUGAAGAAGCACCGGCUAACUACGUG
rnacentral:rRNA from 1 species